GAUGAACGCUGGCGGCGUGCCUAAUACAUGCAAGUCGAGCGAACAGACGAGGAGCUUGCUCCUCUGACGUUAGCGGCGGACGGGUGAGUAACACGUGGAUAACCUACCUAUAAGACUGGGAUAACUUCGGGAAACCGGAGCUAAUACCGGAUAAUAUAUUGAACCGCAUGGUUCAAUAGUGAAAGACGGUGUUGCUGUCACUUAUAGAUGGAUCCGCGCCGCAUUAGCUAGUUGGUAAGGUAACGGCUUACCAAGGCAACGAUGCGUAGCCGACCUGAGAGGGUGAUCGGCCACCCUGGAACUGAGACACGGUCCAGACUCCUACGGGAGGCAGCAGUAGGGAAUCUUCCGCAAUGGGCGAAAGCCUGACGGAGCAACGCCGCGUGAGUGAUGAAGGUCUUCGGAUCGUAAAACUCUGUUAUUAGGGAAGAACAAAUGUGUAAGUAACUAUGCACGUCUUGACGGUACCUAAUCAGAAAGCCACGGCUAACUACGUG
rnacentral:rRNA from 1 species